rnacentral:rRNA from 1 species
CCUACGGGAGGCAGCAGUGGGGAAUAUUGCACAAUGGGCGAAAGCCUGAUGCAGCGACGCCGCGUGAGGGAUGGCGGCCUUCGGGUUGUAAACCUCUUUCAGCAGGGAAGAAGCGAGAGUGACGGUACCUGCAGAAGAAGCGCCGGCUAACUACGUGCCAGCAGCCGCGGUAAUACGUAGGGCGCAAGCGUUGUCCGGAAUUAUUGGGCGUAAAGAGCUCGUAGGCGGCUUGUUGCGUCGGUUGUGAAAGCCCGGGGCUUAACCCCGGGUCUGCAGUCGAUACGGGCAGGCUAGAGUGUGGUAGGGGAGAUCGGAAUUCCUGGUGUAGCGGUGAAAUGCGCAGAUAUCAGGAGGAACACCGGUGGCGAAGGCGGAUCUCUGGGCCAUUACUGACGCUGAGGAGCGAAAGCGUGGGGAGCGAACAGGAUUAGAUACCCUGGUAGUCCACGCCGUAAACGUUGGGAACUAGGUGUUGGCGACAUUCCACGUCGUCGGUGCCGCAGCUAACGCAUUAAGUUCCCGCCUGGGGAGUACGGCCGCAAGGCUAAAACUCAAAUGAAAUUGACGG